GCGAUUAUGAAUUCCAAUUUGAGAAAUCAUAUGGCAGAAAAUAAAGUCUAAUACCUUUCGUUUAUGAAAGACAUAUUUAAAACUCAUGUUAUAUCAAUGUCUUAAUACUUGUUUGUACCUUGACUCUUACUUCAGGUAGAACCUCUCAUAACUACUAAGACCAAGACCAUUUGAAUCUCUCUAGUUCAACAAGUUUCUCAAAUCAGGCACUAUUUGUACCUUUGAUUAUGGAAACCGUGUUGUAGAAAGUGAAAGGUAGAUCGUCAACUGCUUGACGAUUUGGCUUUUGAUUUAGGAAAUCAAGUUGCCAGAAAUACCUAUUCCAAGGUAGAACCUCCACUAAUUGCAGAAUUUGGUGCACUCGAUGAUUGUAUGAGUUAGACACGACUCUUCUUUUAACUGCAGUCGGUCACCUCUGGAUCCAGAACAGAGAUCCUCCUCAAAAACGAUAUCUGCAAUUAUUGUAGUUUGUGGAUUUUUCCGUUCAACCAUGAGGAUGAAGAUUUUGUCAAUUCUCAACAGCUUGUCCAGGAGACUGUGUGUUUGUGAAGAAACUGGACAUGCACUCACGACUUCAGCUCGUCAAAGCCUGUCAGUGAAGUUUAUGUUGGAGAUAGCAGUGACAGACAGUGAACCCAUGAAUGCAUAUGGGUAAAUUGAAUAUCCUCCAAUCAGUAUCUGGGAAUAGAACUCUAAUAGGCAGUUCAUCAUAAUUAAAUUUCUCUAGAGAAAUAUUGUUAUUGUUGACAUUACUUAUAAUAAUGUUUCAUUCAUGCUGUGGUGUA